AGAUCAUUCUGAUUAGUGACAUGAUUUCGGCAACACUGGCAACAGACGAAAAAUGUCAAAACAAUGUAGUGGAACGGCAGCUGUCGAUUGUAACGACAAGAAAAAAUAGGAAAAAUAGAUUCACUAACUAGUCUUGACGUCCCACUUUGAUCUCACCAGUUUUCGAUGUGCAAAUGAAGAAUGAAUAUUCUGAUUUCGACUAGCUAGUCCCAAAAUCAAGUCUGAGAGAACUGAAGCCCUUGGACACUCCCAGGAAAUGAUAUCCAUUUCAAUGGUAAAUGUCCGAUUCGUCGUUGUGUUGCUUUAAGAUAAGUCAUCGUCGUAGAGUGGGGCUCAUGCCGCGACAAAGCUGAGCCAAAACUACGUCAACAGUAUUUCUCUUCAAAUUUCAAUUUUCAGCAAGUCGCUGCAUUUUCAUAAACCAAAAACAUUUGCUAUCUAUAUUAUUAUACAUCCAGUUCAACCAUUAAUCAUAAUCAUACAAUAAAUUAUUAACUGUAUCCUGCGCAUUUUCGAAUGACAAAUUUUCUCAACUACUACUCUACUAGCUAUUUAUUGAUUUCCCAUUAACAUUAUACGGAUACCCAGCAAGAAAACUUGCAAUAAAUUUUGCGUGAUUUGCAGGCAAAAUGAAAAUUUCUUUGACGGCAUUAAUUAUUAAGGUUUAAUUAGACAAGAAUUCGAAUUGAAAUUUGAAAUGCUUUCACGUGAAAACCCAUUUUUCUUUUGAUUUUCUAAUUAACCAGUAAUCUAGCACUACACUUGAGACCUAAAAGCUAAAACUACCCAUACCAGCAAAACGAAUAUCCACUCAGAAACCCUUCGGGUAAAAUAACAAACAAG